GACAUUAAUUUAUCCUCAUUUUAUUUCUUUCUUUCUAGGUAUUAAUUUCCUCAUAAACUAUAUAUUAUUUUAAAUAAUAGUAUGCAUAAAUAAAAUAUAAAAAAUGCUUUAUAUUAUCUUGUAUUUAUGCUUAAACUUAUCUAAUUUUGCUUUGUAAUUGUUGAUUUGCUGGCCAUUAUUUUUUGAGUCUUUUUCGUUUGUUUUAAAUUUCCAUUUCAACCAAAUUCAGCUUUAAUUCUCUUUAUAAAACAUAUUUAAGAACUUAAUUAUAUAUGGUAAUCUGGACAUAUAUUGACUUCGAUCUUACCCAUGCAUGAAACUUUGCAGAAUAUUUCUUCCAUCAAGGCCGAUACAUCGCUCGUCGACAGGUUUACCAUUUUUGCUUUCAAUUACAAUCGGAACUGAAUUGGCUUACAAAAAUUGCGUGCACUUAGUAUCAGCUAUUUCUUAGUGAUGCUCUGUUUUUAUGACACUUGGUUUGUGUUCCCCUCGGUUGGAAUGAUUAGGGUUUAGUAUUCCUUCUUGUGGUGGUUCUACUGUUAUAGGCACUGUGUUCUUAUCGUAUUUGGUUUGGGUUCCCCUGGUUAUUAGGGUUUAGUGUCUAUAAACCGGUGUUCGAAACAGAUUUUUUGCUAAAGUUAAACUAAGUGGUGUGAUGUAAAUAUGUUGUUUUAUGGCCAAUACAACAGAUGCUAGCUUUAUCAUGGUUAUUGGCAGUGAGCUUGUUCACAAGUAUGUUGGUGAAGGAGUUAAUUGUUCAUGUAAUUGAUGAUGUCAUUGUUCAAGAAAGCUUGUAUUGUGUUCUUUGACGAAGUUGAGGUCAUUGGUGGUGCAAGAUUUGAUGAUGGUGUAGUUGGUGAUAAUGAAGUCCAACGUACUAUGCUUGAGAUUGCAUGAGAUGAUUUUAAAAGUCUUUGCACUGAAGCUGGAAUGUACACAAUCAGAGCUAGGAGAAAGACGACAUUCUCUUCUACAUAUGAUAAAACGACAUGUAGUCCUCAUAUGUACUAUACAAUAAUCAAAAAAAAAAACCUUUGUUUUA